UUUUCUUUUUUCGUUUUGUUCUUCUUUUUCGUCUCUGGAGGCUUUGGCUGCUUCCAUUCUGUACGCCGAAUUUAUUUUUCCUAAUAAAUUAAGCCGGUAGCUUGCUAUCUUUCUCUCUCAAAAAAAAGAAAGUUAUUUUAGAUGAUCGAAAAUCUCGAUUGGUAAUUAGUAAUGUUAAAACUGAUCUAUACUAUUAAAAAUAUUUAAAAACUACUUUUAUAAUUUUUAAAAAUCAUUACAACAUCUAUUGAAUAGUCGAAAAAUGAACAGUCGAAAAAAAAUAACCUUCUGAAAAUAGAGGUUUUAUUUUCUUAAUUCAUAAUCCAAUCGGUUAUCAAACGUUGCCUAAAUGUUAUAAAGAAUUUUCUAUCAAAAAUUCAAACAAUUUGAAUUGUUUUGAAAAUAAAAGGCUCAAAUAUGUUGCAAAAAAUAAU
rnacentral:lncRNA from 1 species